GAUGUACUCCCUCCAUCCGAAAAAGCUUGUCCCUAAAAUGGAUGUAUCUACCACCAAGUUAGUGCUAGAUUCAUCCAUUUGAGGGACAAGUUUUUUCGGACUGAGGGAGUAUAUG
rnacentral:pre_miRNA from 1 species